rnacentral:lncRNA from 1 species
GUAACAAGGCAGAUGUUACCUUAAGGGUUUAGUGAAGAGGAUAAGACCGGUGAAAGGAUAAGGGACGCGCGGUGCCAGGCUGGAACAGGCUGGAAAGCUGAAGCACCUUUAGUCCAAGAUGCCAUAAGCAUGUGAGCCAUCCUGACCAAUCAUUCAAAAGGCGCCCCUUGACUCCACACGGUUUAAUAGUGCUCAGUUCCCUUCUUGUAAACCCUUGUGUCUCUCUUAUAAAUAUGUAACCUCACUCAUUAAUAAGAUUAAGCAAGUUUUGAGUCUCUCUCUUAGUCUUUAAAUCUCAAUGGUUCCAUAUUAGACUCAUAAUCUCAUUUCAU